CUCCAUGAAAGUGAGGUCAUCAUUCGUUUCAGGAAGUUGAGUGAGGCCUGAGACAGCAAUGUUUCGUUUAGCCUGGCGGUGGCCCUCCUUGUCUUCAAGAAGAGCAUCCGUGGCUAGCAGUGGAAGAUGGGGUUGGGCCCCAGGAGUGUGAAAUUGGGAAGUAAUUCAAAAUGUAUGUGCCUAGCAUUCCUUUUAUGUAACAUGAGGGGAAUAGAAGUACCAAACCGAUGCAGUUCAGUGGAGAAUUAAAUGAGAUAGUCACAAGUAAAAGGUGGGCAGAAGAUAUUUACUAAUUAGCACAUUCUGCUAGCACAUCUGUGGGAAAAGAGACGCGAUCUUACUGCAUUGACCAGGAUGGUCUCAAACUCCUGGCUACAGGCUAUCCUCCUGCCUCUGUCUCCCAAAGCGCUGGGAUUACAAGCGUGAGCCACCAGGCCUGGCCCAAUUGCUUCUUAACAACUUACUAUUCUUUGUUCACUACAGUGUAUACAUAACUGACUUUUUAUUUGGAUCUUCAUUUUGUAAUGAAGGCUCUGGUCACAUGUAAGACUUGUAUUAAAUAAAUUUGCCUGCUGUUCUGUUAAUCUGUGUUAUGCUAAUUUAAUUCUUGAGCCCAGCUGGGUCCUGGAGAGGAUAGAGUGAAAUUUUGUGGCAGCUACGUAAGUCAAUGAAAUUGGAAACAGAAAAACAAUCUUUAAAAAUCAAUAAAAUCAUAAACUUAUUCUUUGAGAAGAUCAAUAUAGUUUAUAAACCUUUCAACUGACUCACCCACAGGGAAAAAGAAGAAAACAAAAAUCAGGAGGGAGGGAAUGUUAUUACAAAUUUUGCGGAUAUUAAAAGGAUUAUAAGGGAACAUUACAAACAACUCCUUGUCCAUAAAUUGAUCAAUUUACAUGACAUGGAAUAUUACUUGAAAGGCACAAACUACCAAAGCUCACUCAGGAAGAAUGGAUAACCUAGAUACUUGCGUGUAUGUAUGUGUGUGCAUACAUACAAUUUUUACACACACACACACACACACACAUAUAUAUAUAUAUAUGCACAGUUAAUUUUUUCUAUCUUUUGUAGAGAUGGGUUUUUACCAUGUUGCCUGGGCUGGUCUUGAACUCCUGGGCUCAAGCGCUCUGCCCACCUUGGCCUCCCAAAGUGCUGGGAUUACAGGCUUGAAACACUGCACCUGCCUGGCCUGAUAUAUAUUUCAAAACUGAUUUAAUAGAUAAAGCCUUCCAACAACAACAAUAAAAAAAACAAUAUUGAGAUGAAUUCAUUGGUGGAUUCUACUAAACAUUUAAAGAGUAAAGAUGUGAAUUUUAAAUAAACCCAGAAACAAAAAGAGAAGGGAACACCCA
rnacentral:lncRNA from 10 species